CUGGCUCAGGAUGAACGCUAGCGGCAGGCUUAACACAUGCAAGUCGUGGGGUAACAGAUGAACAGAUCCUUCGGGUGACGAUCAUGCUGACGACCGGCGCACGGGUGAGUAACGCGUAUGCAACCUGCCCCUGACAGGAGGAUAGCCCUAGGAAACUGGGAUUAAUACUCCAUGUAUUAUCAAAUAGGCAUCUAUUACAUAAUAAAGCUACGGCGGUCAGGGAUGGGCAUGCGUGCCAUUAGUUAGUUGGUGAGGUAACGGCUCACCAAGGCAUCGAUGGCUAGGGGUUCUGAGAGGAUGAUCCCCCACACUGGUACUGAGACACGGACCAGACUCCUACGGGAGGCAGCAGUGAGGAAUAUUGGUCAAUGGGCGCAAGCCUGAACCAGCCAUGCCGCGUGCAGGAUGACUGUUCUAUGAAUUGUAAACUGCUUUUCUGCGGGAAGAAAUGUACCUACGCGUAGGUAUUUGCCGGUACUGCAGGAAUAAGCAUCGGCUAACUCCGUGCCAGCAGCCGCGGUAAUACGGAGGAUGCAAGCGUUAUCCGGAUUCAUUGGGUUUAAAGGGUGCGCAGGCGGUGUAUUAAGUCAGUGGUGAAAUGCUGCGGCUCAACCGUAGACUUGCCAUUGAUACUGGUACACUUGAAUGUAGUUGAGGUAGGCGGAAUGUGUAAUGUAGCGGUGAAAUGCUUAGAUAUUACACAGAACACCGAUUGCGAAGGCAGCUUACUAAACUAUGAUUGACGCUGAGGCACGAAAGCGUGGGGAGCGAACAGGAUUAGAUACCCUGGUAGUCCACGCUGUAAACUAUGAUCACUGGUUGUUGGGCAUAUACCGUCAGCGACUGAGCGAAAGCCUUAGGUGAUCCACCUGG
rnacentral:rRNA from 1 species